CUAUCAAAAGUUACUUUUUGUGGGGUGGAAGUUUUUAAAAUAACCUUUACCUACUUGGGCUGUUUUGGAAAAUAAAGAAAAGACCACACAUAACAGUGGGCUAUAUCCCUUAGUAUAGUUCACCACUAUUUUGUGGCUUAUAUU
ensembl:snoRNA